GGUUCGUUGGAGCUUGAUUCCACCAAUAUAUCAUGGUGCAGGGCUGGUUUAACUGCUCUGUUCGGUGAAAAAGGAGACUCGUUGCUAUUUCUGUAACCAGUUGAAGUGGAUUAUCUACCAGACUUGGAGAAACAUGGCGUAUCACUAACAGAGAGCUCGUUUGCGAACGUGGCUGGCCGGACAUUUCAGCCAAGGAUGAAUAAACUGUCUCAGAAUGCAUUUUGUUCAGAAUUUUUAUGGUGAAGAAACUUCAUUUGGGUCAUGUUUCCAGAAGCUUCGGGCUGAAGCAGCAGCUGUCGUUGGUUGCAUUCCAAACUCAAUCAAAGAAGAGGAAGAGAGAAGGGAGGCAAAAGGGACUAUCAAAUAAGAGAGAGGCCAACUGUAAAACGAGAGCCUAAAACAUGAAUAUAUAUAUUUUUUGAAAUAUGGCAGAUUGAUGAGACUAUAGACAGAUGCUGAAAGCAAUAACACUGGACAUGUUGCUAAUCGUAGGCAUACCAAUCAGUAUUUAUGCGCUGACUUCCAUGGUUUUUGAACUUGGGAGUUCGCCACUGGGCAUCCGAAUGUGACUUAAGCAUAUAGGUUCCUUGACUCUCAAAAUCGUACCAGGAUAAAUUAGCUGUGGCUGGAGAUUUUGUAUUGAAAUUCGGUAAUUACAGUUAUAAUACAUACAAGUAAUAGUUUUUCUUAUAUAUAUUGGAUUACUGUACUCAUAGAUCUGGUGACUCUGACUCAACCCUAAGCCAAUGGUAAACAAAUCAAGUUCAUGCAUACCAUGAAAUAAGGUUGUGAAAAAUGCAAGAUUCCCUCGAAACCACGCCCACGGCCCACGCCCAUGCCCAAAUCGAAAAACCAAAACCAGAAUUUUAGAUAUCUCCCUCUUGUAUUACUUACUGAACUAGUGUGUUUUGUGUUGGCCGACCAUGCUGACAUGUAUUUCAUUCAACAAAUUUCUCGCAAACUUUCAAAUCUAGCACACUCAGAUUUGAUCGAUCCCAAAAUCGUAACUUUAGUUCAACAAGGACAAUAUGUAGAUGCCUUGCAAUUCUACUCUAGAAAUCCCCUAAACGCUACCAGGUUCACAUACCCUUCUCUCCUAAAGGCCUGUGGUUUCCUUUCAAAUCUUCAAUAUGGAAAAACAAUUCAUUCUACAAUCAUCACCAAAGGCUUCUUCUACUCUGAUCCUUAUAUCACUACCUCACUUAUCAAUUUUUAUUUUAAAUGCGGGUCAUUUGGAAAUGCAGUUAAAGUGUUUGAUAAAUUGCCUGAGAGUGAAGUGUCAGGCCAAGAUGUAACCUUUUGGAAUUCUAUAGUUAAUGGGUACUUUCGAUUUGGACAUAAAAAGGAGGGCAUAGCUCAGUUUUGUAGAAUGCAAUUAUUUGGUGUUAGGCCUGAUGCUUACUCAUUGUGUAUUCUACUUGGUGCGUCUGAUGGGCAUUUGGGAUAUGCGAAGCAAAUUCAUGGUUAUAGCGUUAGAAAAGUGUUUUACGGUGACCCUUUUUUGGAAAGUGGACUAAUUUAUAUGUACUUUAGUUGCGGUAGACCUCUGGAUGCGUGGCGUUUGUUCAAAGAGUUGGAAGAUAAGGGCAAUGUUGUAGCAUGGAAUGUGAUGAUUGGAGGAUUUGGUGAGAAUGGCUUGUGGGAAAAUAGCUUGGAAGUAUAUUUGUUAGCGAAGAAUGAAAAUGUCAAACUUGUUUCAGCAUCCUUUACUAGUACUCUAAGUGCUUGUUGUCAGGGUGAAUUUGUUAGUUUUGGCAUGCAGGUUCAUUGUGAUCUGGUUAAGCUGGGUUUUGAGAAUGACCCUUAUGUUUGUACUUCACUAUUGACUAUGUAUUCCAAGUGCAAGUUGGUUGAAGAUGCCGAAAAUGUUUUUGAUCAGGUUUCUGUGAAAAAGACUGAAUUAUGGAAUGCAAUGAUCUCGGCAUAUGUUGGUAAUGGACGCUCUUAUGAUGGUUUGAAAAUUUACAAACAGAUGAAGGUACUUCAAAUUCCACCUGAUUCUCUUACAGCGACAAAUGUUUUAUCAUCUUGCUGUUUGGUUGGUUCAUAUGAUUUUGGUAGGUUGAUUCAUGCAGAAUUAGUAAAAAGACCUAUUCAAAGUAAUGUUGCUCUACAGAGUGCUCUGUUGACCAUGUACUCAAAAUGCGGUAACAGUGAUGAUGCUAAUUCAAUAUUUAACACAAUAAAAGGAAGGGACGUAGUUGCAUGGGGUUCCAUGAUAUCAGGUUUUUGCCAAAAUAGGAAAUACAUGGAGGCUUUGGAAUUUUACAACUCAAUGACAGUAUAUGGGGAGAAACCAGAUUCUGAUAUUAUGGCAAGCGUUGUGAGUGCUUGUACAGGACUAAAGAAUGUCAAUCUCGGUUGCACUAUCCAUGGACUUGCUAUUAAAAGUGGGUUGGAACAGGAUGUUUUCGUUGCAAGUUCCCUGGUGGAUAUGUACUCCAAAUUUAAUUUCCCAAAGAUGUCUGGAAAUGUAUUUUCUGAUAUGCCACUUAAGAACCUUGUAGCUUGGAAUUCUAUAAUAUCUUGCUAUUGCAGGAAUGGCCUCCCAGACUUGUCCAUUAGUCUUUUUUCUCAAAUGACACAGUACGGCUUGUUUCCAGAUUCUGUCUCUAUUACAAGUGUCCUUGUUUCUGUUUCGUCAGUUGCAGUACUACGUAAAGGAAAGGCAGUGCAUGGGUAUCUGAUAAGACAGAGGAUUCCAUCUGACCUUCAACUAGAGAAUGCUCUGAUUGAUAUGUAUAUCAAGUGUGGAUUCUUGAAAUAUGCCCAGCAUAUCUUUCAAAACAUGCUUCAGACAAACUUGGUGACUUGGAAUAUAAUGAUUGCUGGUUGUGGAUCACAUGGGGAUUGGUUGAAAGCAAUGAGAUUAUUUGAUGAGAUGAGAAGUUUUGGAAUCGCUCCUGAUGAUAUUACUUUCAUUUCUCUUCUGACAUCUUGCAACCAUUGUGGUUUCAUUGAGGAAGGGCUAAAACUUUUUCAAUUGAUGACGGUGGAGCAUGGGAUUGAGCCAAGAAUGGAGCAUUAUGUAAACAUUGUUGACCUCUUGGGCCGUGCAGGACGCCUGGAUGAUGCUUAUGCUUUUGUGAAAAACUUGCCUAUUGAACCUGACAGGAGUAUUUGGCUAUCUUUGUUAUGCUCAUGCAGAGUCCAUCAUAAUGUUGAGCUUGGACAGGGCUGCAAACUUGCGGGCUUCAAUGAAAGAAAAAGGCUUAAAGAAGACUCCUGGGUGCAGUUGGAUUGAAGUAGGGAAUAGCAUUGAUGUUUUCUUCUCUGGUGAUAGCUCAUCUCCGAGGACAAUAGAGAUCUAUGACUUAUUGAAUAGUCUUAGGAGGAACAUGCGAAAGAAAGGAGGUCAUUAUGAAAGUGUUGAGGCCUUGUAAGAAUGAGAAUGACAUCCUGGAAGGGAUGAAUUGCUCCCCAAAAGGAAUCCGUUAAUCUUCUACCAAUUGCUUUGACAGCAAAGGACGUGUUGCUUAAGUUUCAUUUGAAGAUUAAGAAGCAAAUUGAAAUGAGUUGAAAUGA